GUGCCUGUAGCUCAAUCGGAUAGAGCGUCAAGCUACGGACUUGGAAGUUGAGAGUUCGAAUCUUUCCAGGCAUG
rnacentral:tRNA from 1 species